AAUACCUGCCCAGGGACGGGAAGGGAGAGAAGCUGGAGUCAUGUGGGGACCACAGUGGCCUCUGGGGCUGGGCCUCUGUGUCAGGUCCAGGAGAAGCUCUCGCAGCUCUGGAGGAACUGAGAGAAGGAUCUGGGGAGUGGCCAAGACAGUGACAGAGGGUGGACACAGGGGGCCAAGAGGAAGGGGGCCUCUGCUUAGCUUCCAGCUGCUGGUGUCCCUGCAGGGUUCCCUCCUGAGGGCACGGGUCUCCUCCAGUGGCCCCAAGCUCCUUCCAACAGUGGCUCUUCUCCCAUAUCCUCCGCUCUCUGGGGGUUAAGUGAGAGAGGGGUGGGGCUGGGGGCUGCUCAGAGAGAGAGGCUGGCAGAAGGCAAUCAGUCACUGUCACUUGCAGCUGUGCACUGCUGUCAACUGGUUAAUUAGAUGCCAGCAUUUACAUUUUUAAUUUCUGCAAUUUGACAUUUUAUGCACCAGACCCCAACUCCCCCGCCAGAGGGGAGCCGCGCGGUUUCCUAAUGAGGAACUGAUGACGGUUCCUUCUCCCCUUUUCCUCUGGGCUUUGGGACUGUAGAUUGUAAAAAUGAGAACAGGUAACUACAAAGCCACGAAGCACGGCUGGCCCAGGGGCCCUGGGGUUGCCCGGCCCAGCCCACUCUAAGUCCCCGGGGCUCUGGGUUAGAGAAAGCCAUUCGGAGGCCCUAGAAUCAGGAACCAGGAGGAAGACUGCAGGGUGGGCACAGCAAACCAGGCACCUGGGCACCAAGGCUAAGGAGAGGCAUUUGCUCGUGGGGUCGUGCUAGGGCUGGUGACGGUGACAGGCCCCGGGAGUCCCAGGACUCAAGGGUGCAUCAGAUGAGCAUAGGGGACAUUCUCAGAGAUUUGGGGACAUUCUUAUUGUGUGUUCUGACCCUGUGUCUUUCCCAGCCUACACCCCUCACUGCUCUGACCAGGACCCAUCAGUCCUGUGCUGUGUCUCUAACUUCCACCUGUCCCCAGGAGUUCCCAGGAGUUGGGUGACAAGCUGGCAGAAAUGACACUGCAGGGCUCCUCCACUGUCAGCUCAAGGGCCAGCCUCAGAAUGAUAGCUCCAUUUGCCACCAACCUUCCUGGCAGCCAAGGGCUGAGGUGGGCACCCUGCCUGAGCCACAGCCCUGGGACUGCAGACCUGUCGCUGGCUGGAAGACAGGGAAGGCAGAGGUGUAAAAGUCCAGCAGAGUCUCCAUCCAUGGCCUCUAUUUCUGGAAGACAGCAAAUGCCAGUGUCCCACCUCACAGCAAGAGAAUAGCCAUUCCCCAGGAGAUGUGUGGCACUGUCCCCUCGGGCGUCCCACACCUGCCGAGCAAGAUGGGUUCGCCCAGCCCAGGGUCAUCUCGAGACGCCUCUUGGGUGAAAGGAGAAGCCUGGUUUCUCUCGCUUUUGGAACCAUGGCCAGCAGCCCCAGGCCUGCUGCAGCUGAGUGCCCAUCCUCUCUGCUGGGUCUGGCUAAUGCCCGCUCCAGGGCUCUCCCCCGCCCACCCCUUAGCCAGCCUGGAGCCUGACAAUGACUCCCAUGGCACCUUCUCUGCGGUGGGUACAAUUGCUUCCUUCUCACUUUUGCUGGGCUGGCUCCUGUCCUGGGACCCUCCACAGAGAUGCCUCAUUGACUGUGAGGAAUGCUCUUAAGCCCCAAUUAAUGAACUUCCCACAAGUGUUCUCACCAGCUGGCUGUGUAGCGGGGAAGGGAAAGGUCAGUCCAGACCCCUCGCACUUGAACCCUACACACCCUUCUCAGAAGGGACUGGGGCUCUGAAAAGUCCCCGAGGACCCCCUGGAGCUGGCCAGGGCCUGGUAGGCGGGAAGGCUGGCCCAGGACUGGCCUUGUGAGGUGGGUCUGGUCCCACCACCAGCGGCAGCCAGCUCUCCUUGCUGUGUUUCCUUAGCCCAGGGAGGAGGCCGGCUGGGGGCCUGAGGUCAGCGCUCUGGGCAAGACCUGGGAAGCUGGAUUCUCCUUUGUCAACCCGUCUGCAGUGGGGUGAGGGCGUCCUGGCAGAAAUCCUGGGUCAGGUGGGAUGGCAGGUCUCAUCUCUGCCUUUGGGAAAGCUCUCUGUGACAGAGGAGAUGGCUUUGAAUACUCCAAAUUCUUCAAGAAGAGAAAAGAAUCGGUGUCCCUCCAAACACCUCAAGGAUGGGGAUGCAGAUGUAGAAGACACUCGGAUAUCCCCCAACUCGGCUUCCAAGGCCCUGCGUAAGUCUUCCCCUGGGAACCGUUGGCUGCUGUCUCCAGGCCCAGGAGAACGAGGGCCUCACUCCCAGAGCGCAGCUGUGGGUCUGGCUGAGAACCUUCCUAUAUUCCUCCUCAACUAGAUGCUGCAGAGAAGGAUCCAGUCUAACCUUCCAAGUGCCCGCCACACCCAUGGCAAACCCAUGACUGACCAGUGGAUGGACGCAUGGGUCAGGGGAACGUCUGGGUCUCACCUUUGGUACUGCUCCGAGGCGAGCUGUCACCUUUUAUAAGCUUGGAUGGAGGGAGCCAUAGGAGGCAUAUUAAAGUAUCUAAAACCUCAACCUUCUUCAUGCCGUGACACGUGACAGAUAGCAUUCCAAUGUGUGGCCGACCCUCAUCCAGUGCUGGGGGGCCAGCCGGGACGCGAUUCCCCUCACUUCCUGGUGAGGUUCACUGCUUCCGCAGGGAUAACUCUGAAGCUCUUCCAAGUUAAAAUCAGAUGAAACCACCACCAGACUCUGCAGCGUCCACUGCUAUUGGCCACGAAAUAGAGAUUGUGACCGACUGGGACACAGGAGCUCACGGUGACAAGGCUGGAGUUCUGCUCUGUGAGACAACUGUUCAUGGGGAACCAAGAGUCUCCUUCCUGUUUCUAGAUCUGGCCACAAGCAGAAGCCCAACAGGGCUGUGAGGACGAGGAGCCUGCUGAGCACCAUGGGGUGUGCCAGGGUGGACCUGUCCACUCCUCACCAAGUGCAGGAGUGCUCAGCUCCAUCUCCCGACUGCCCCUGCUCUUUCUCAAUCCCUCUGUCUUUCUACCCCUGCUCCCUCCUAAACGGGAGGAGGAAGGAUUUGGGACAUUAAGCAAGAGAAAGAUGACUUUCCUGGGAGUGCCCGUGGUUGCUAAGAAACUAGUGGGAUAAGAAAUGGAAGCCAUUACCUAAAGAGCCAAUCAGCAGGCUCCUCGUGACCAGCAGCAGCUGCAUGAGCCGGUCUCACUUAGAACCCACCUAGAGGAAGACCAUUAGCCCAGCAGUGCACUGGUCUCACCCAGGACUGCCCAGCCUUGUCCAGGAAGUGUCCUCUACACGGAUCCUUAUAAAUGUCCCCACCCUUCCCUGCCCUUGUUCCUUCCUCUCUACCACCCAGGGUUCUGGCUCAGUGACCCUCAUCAGUGCAGGGGUGACCCACAGUCCAAAUGCUGCCUCUUCCUCUUUCUUUGCAGAAAGCAGGGGCCACACACGAGGGCUCGCUCCCGGCAGCCCUACUGUGGGAAGGAUGCACUGCUGUCUACGCAGAGGGCGAUGAGAGCCCCCCUGGGUGACCGGGAUAAUCUGACAUGAGGACAAAGAUGUGGCUCUCUCCCUGACAGCCAGGGCACCACAAGUGAACUUCCAUCCAGAUUUCUUAUCUUUAUGCUACUUGGAAAAAAGAGAAAGGGGACUACAGGGAUGCAUCCAGUCCCAGUUGGCUGUAGCUCAGGUGCUCGCCUUAUGGAUCUGCCGCAGCUCAGAUGAACCAUGACAUUCUCUACCAGGAGCUGGCGGGGACUGAGAGCCAGGAGCCUCAGUUGACAGGAUUGUGGGGAAUGUCUUUUGAGGGGAGACCUUGAACCUGGUGCUGCCAUCUACUUCCUGGGAUUUCCUCUGCCUGGACCUGGAGUUCUGUGCUACAGCAUCUGGGUACUUGGACCAGCUCUCCUCAGCCCGGGCCAUGUGCCAGAGAAGAUCUGGGCUGCUCGUGCACCGCCAGUCCUAGCCAAGGUAGGUGCCCGGGAACUAGCCCACGCUGCCUUGGAAGAAUGAUGUGGGGAAGAACGACCUGGAACAUGGACCAUGCAAAGCUACAGGGAGGCGAUUCUGGAAUGGAAGGGACUGGAUAUCAGCCAGCCCUGCCCGAGCCUGAAGCACAGACCACACACCAAUGAAGAGAAGGAUGCUGUAUGGUGAAAGGAGAGAGGGCCAUCGUGGAGAUGCCUAGAGUGCCAUACGGACUUAGAGAAUCCUGUGAUCUCCAGGGAAAACGAGGUGGUUGUGGACAGGUCUCAUCUCCAACCAGAGCUUAGAAAAGGAGUUCAUGGACCGAGAGGAGAGGAGCACAUAGAAUAGAGUGGAAAUGCCCUUGUCCAGCCAGAGUCUCCCGGGUUGCUGCAAAACCCCACUUACAAGUCACCAUGAGGCGCUGCCCCCUACCUCCCAGGUGAGCACAGGUACUGUCUCUCGCAGUUUGUGUCUGUCUACACAGCUGAGCCUAACUCAGAACCCUCAGUGUCUAGCCUACUGUCAAGACCCCUGGGAGGUCCCUGACAGUAAGGGUGGCCUGGCUGUGACAUGAGUGUUUGCUCACUGAGAU